AAACAUUGUCUGGCUGCAAGUCUGUAUGAAACAUUUUGGAGGUUUUCAGAGGAUGGCUGAAGGGUCCUCUUCUGCUGUAUGAAGUAAUGGCUUUCAUUGUGAACAGGAGUACAGAAGAAGUGUUUUGAAUACUCAUGGUUAGAUAUAACAUAUUGUCUUCUUCCAUCAAACUCUGAGCUGCCAGGUGCGUCUACUCCAAAAAUGAAAGAGGUGAAAGCUGAGUCUGUCAUACAAGUAGGAUUUCGGGCUCUAAGAAAAACAUCACAUGCCUCCAUUGAAAAAAUCACUAGCGUGGACAACUCUAAAGAGGACCAAAGAACUUACAGUAUGCUUUCCUUUUGAUUCCAGUGCCAGGUGUGAACUCU